rnacentral:lncRNA from 1 species
CAUAUGGGGUCCUUUGGAAACCCUAAACUCAAGUACCCUGUCCCACAAUAGCUUAGAUGAAGUCCUUACGGCUUAAAACACUUACAUAAAGUGUUAUCUAUGUCUAGGAUGUCUUAAACAUUAUCAAUUAGUCUUUUGUGUCUAAUUGAGUGCAUAUAUGUGUGAUUAUAUGUUCAUUAGGAUCGUAGUGUGUGCACAAGUCCUCGCUUGACACCUAGCAAUCCGAUACCGUUCAGUUCAUUCCAAUCACCAACUACAGGUGAGUUCAUACCCCGUAAUCAAUGUUUUAAAGGAUUUUAAAUGCUUUAAUGGGGGGGAUUACAAGUAGAAACAAACAUGUUAUUAAAUCAGUUUCAUGUAUUUUAUAACUAUGUUUUCACUCAGUAGAUUUCACAUAUUUCAAAAGAAGUCACGUGAAAUGGUUUUCUAUCUUAAAAUACUUAGACAACAGAAGUAUUAGUUUUGAAUUGUAUAAUGACUUCAAGUCACUUUAUAUUAUUGUUCAAAGCUCCUAGAUACCUUGCAUAAACCUACUUGAACAACAACAUACUUUCCAGUUAGCUAUCAUAGGGAUAGUCAGAAGAUAUCAAACAAGAGUCAGUUCAUUCAUGAGUCUAUACUAAUGCCUUACAUGAUACAUGAUUACACGUACUUAGGAUUCUAUGAUACAUGAAUAUGUUUACAUAUACUUACCUGUUACAUGAACACACUUACAUGAAUUCUAGACAGGGACACUUCUUAAUAAGUACAUUAUUCUGUACUUACUUACCUUGGAUACUUGAACUAGAUCUAAGAGGAUGAUUUAUUAGUAUUUACUGUAUAAAUUGUCUUUCCUAUUCCCGUUCGAGGGGAUGUUUUCAGCGGGACUUACCAUUCCGAAUCUCACUGAUUAGCGCCAGUGAGAGAUGGCGUCUACGGAUGUCUAAGGUAGUCACUUGAUUUGUGGUCAGUGACGGGACUUACUAUCCCUCCGCCCGCUGUUGCAACAGUGGACGAGAUGUGAAUCUUCGGAGGAUCAUUAGGUUGACGAUCUACGUCAAGAGAUCGAUGCAGGGACUAACCCUCCUUCCAUCCUGCUGCUGCUACAGAGGAUGAGGGGACACUCUUCGGAUGUUCCUCAGGGUCUAACUUUCGCUUCAUGCGAUGUAGUGUUGGUCCUAGUACCCAGUGACAACACUUACCAUAUCAUAUUUUCCUGUUUACUUUAUUUUGUGACACAUUCACAUAAACGAUGAGUUAGACUAAGCACUUUUAGUACUAGUCUACACAAAGGAAAAACACUUCAUACAUACAAAACAUUCGAGUCUUGGUAGAAGACUGCACUUCAUUCAUACAAAACAUUCGGGUCUUGGUAGACGACUGCACUUCAUUCAUACAAAACAUUCGGGUCUUGGUAGAAGACUGCACUUCAUUCAUACAAAACAUUGGGUCUUGGUAGAAGACUACACUUCAUACUUAUAGAAAAUAAGGGUUUUUCUAGGGAUUUCAUACUUACCUCAACAUUUUCACUUAAAGGUUUUCAUGGCAUUCAUAGCAGGUUUUCACAAACAAAGCAAUGACACUUAUAUACUUAUGAACUCACCAGCUUUAAAGCUGAUACUCUCUUUCAAAAUAACUUGUAUUCUCAGGUCGCCAGUAGACAGGUACGGAGGACAGGUUUUGAGAAGACGCAGCAGACAAGUCUCGUCUUUUAUUUUGAUUGUAUAUUUUUGGUGUCUUACCACAAUGAAAGAACAUACAUGUAUAAAACUUUACUUAUAAUGCAAUGGAUGAUGUUGUGACUUGUUUAUUAUAUUACACUGUUGUGAUACUGUACAUGACGUCCUACACCCCUGAACGUUUCCGCCGUUCGUGGUUUUGGGGUGUGACAGAUUGGUAUCAGAGCAUUGUUUAUAGUGAAUAUAGUAUAUCAACCCAUAAAAGAUAUACUAACUAUAAAUACAUGGGAUUAAAACACUCUGUCUAAGAGUUAUACUUUUAAAUAAUAAAAUAUUUAACAAAGUAUACGUGCCUGCAUUCAUACUAAAAUCAGUGUCACAACGACAAGAACAAAAGUAUUACGAUUGUUGGAUAUCACAAGUAAGCCUGGGGAUAUAUAGUCAGUCUUGGGAAUGGCAUAGCCUGAUCAACUAUGCUGGUCCAAGGAGUGAUUAGCAUAUGCCCAAGAAUGGUUGUGAUGUGGCAACAAGUCUAAAAACUUACCAACACAACCACAAAGAAAUACCAUAUGGGUAUUUGAUCUUACUGUAAUUUUCUUAGUUAGUUCGUCUAUUUUAGCUAUCUCUUAUAUCCCUUUUCUCGCGUAGAUUAAGAUGGCUGGAUUUCCCCACGGCGAUCCGUACUUUCCGAACCAAGGCAAUGCUGGUUGGCUAGAGGCAGAGCCAGAAGAUGAUCACCCAAUCCCUUUGGAUGAUCACCAUGCUGAGGGCUUUUCCGAUAGUUCCGACUCAGAGCCAGAAGUCAAUAACCUACCCCUGGCUGCUCAAAACCCAAACCUGAACCCUCGCCCUGUGUUUCAAGGACCCACACCUCUGUGGGCCACUAACUUGAUAACAUGGAGCCAUGAACAGGGACAGCCCAUUCCCUACAACGGAGACCGAAGUUUCUAUAACCUCACAGAAGGAGGUUCUGCCGAUAGAGUCCUACCAAUCAUGGUGUGUAGGAUGUCUAGGAACUCGAUAAAAGCCCAGGCGGCUGUCAAUCAAGUCUUGGAAGUUGACGCCAACUCUGGUGUUAACACCGUCCACAUUCGCCGACUGGAGUCUGCUCAUGAAAGGACUCUGGUCCGAAAUGCAAAUCUGCAAAAGGAGCUUGCUGAAACCCGAGCUGAAGUUAGAGAACUUCGAGCUCAACAAGCAAGGUCGGACAUGCGUAUAAGGGACAUCGAACGUCUACUGUCGGAAUCAAGGACUCAUGCUAGUAGUUCUCGUCGCCGAUAGAAGAUCGUUAUCUCAUCUUUUGGAUAUAACCUAGUUUAUGUAAAACUAUGGUCUAAUUUUCUGCCUAUAUAAAUCUUAGGACUGUUAGGUCUUGGUUUAAUCUUAAGUCUGUCAAAAUUUUCCAUCUUAGUUGAUGUAAGGCCUACUUCUAGGCCAUUUUUCCCGAACUUGUUACAUCUGUAAUUCCAGUUUUAUUGACAGAUAUCUAAUCUUAUGGAAAUUAUUAUCCAACUGUUAUCUUCUUCAUUUAGUCAUGCUAUUCUUUCUGUUGUUGGACUAUGGCGAUUUAGUCCAUGAGACACAUUCAUUUAUCAUUUAUUCUUAUCCAUGUGGUCAUCUUUUAAACGUAUAGUUAAAGAUGCCGCCACGCAGGAAUCCUAGGAGGAAUCCAAACAACGAAGCACCUAUACCACCACCUCCACCACCACCUGUACCUCUUCAAACUCCAAAUCCUUUUGAUGCCACUAUGUUCCAGGCAGCUUUCACAGCAGCAGUUGCAGCUGCUGUGUCAGCAAUCAACGCUCCUGCCCCUAGUGGAUCAGGAACAGGUGCACCACCCUCAAACCACGGCGAAAGCCAUGGACACCCUCGGGAAUGCACCUACAAGGAUUUUACUAACGCCAAACCCCGCAGCUUCAACGGAACUGGGGGUGUUAUGGUGUUGAGACAAUGGAUCGAGAAGAUGGAAUCUGUCUUCGAGAUCUGCUCAUGCCAAGAAGGCAGCAAGGUCAAGUUCGCAGCUUGUACCUUCUCUGACCGAGCACUAACAUGGUGGAACAGCCAUGUUAACUAUCUAACUCUGGCGGUGGCGUAUUCCAUCAGCUGGGAGAAAUUGAAGGAGAUGCUCAUGAAAGAAUACUACCCUCGAGGCGAAGUACAAAAACUCGAGCAGGAAUUCUGGGGUCUUCAAAUGGUUGGAUCCGACAUCACUACCUACACAAAUAGGUUUUGUGAUUUGGCAAACUUGUGCCCCGACAUGGUUGCUCUCCAGAGCAAAAAGAUCGAGAGGUAUAUCUGGGGACUGUCGCCCCAGAUCCAGUCAAGUGUGAUCGCUUCCAGGCCUAUUACCUUCGAUAGUGCCAAGGAACUAGCACAAUCCCUCAUCGAUCACAGGAAACCCCAGAUCACGUCAAUCCCUACACCUGUACCACAGAAGACCAACCCCGACUACGUUAAGAAGGGGUGGAACAAAAGGAAAAGAGGGGCUCCGCAAGGAUCCUCCAAUAAACAACAGCAUGUGGCGAUCAAUGCUGCCACAGUGACUCCUGUAGUCCCUGCGAACCCCUUUCCAGCAAAAACUUAUGCUGGAACUCUUCCGAAGUGCACCAAGUGCAACUUCCACCACCACGGACCUUGCAAGGAGAUGCAGUGCUCUAACUGCAACAAGAAGGGACACACCGUCCGCUUCUGCAAAACUCCAACAGCCCAAGCUGCUCAAGUUCCUAACGCCGGUAUGGGCCAAGCUUGCUACGGAUGUGGCGAAGUGGGCCAUUACAAGAGGAACUGCCCUAAAGCAGGGAUGGCUGGAGGAGUGGGAAGAGUUAUGGCUCUAGGCCACGAGGAAGCAGUAGCUGAUCCAACGAUAGUUACUGGUACGUUCCUCCUUGAUAACUCUUAUGCUUGCAUACUUUUCGAUAGUGGAGCCGAGAAAAGUUUUGUAAGUCACAAAUUUGCACACCUGCUUAAACAAAAACCAUGUGCAUUAGAUAGUUCAUUCACAGUAGAAAUGGCUAACGGGAAAACAGAGAGUACAAACUGCAUAUACAUAGGUUGUACUUUAACUUUAGAUAGCCAUACUUUCAAGAUAGAUCUUAUGCCAGUUACCAUUAAAUGUUUCGACGUUAUCAUCGGUAUGGAUUGGUUGAGUCUUCUGCGUGCCGACAUUAUGUGCUUCGAAAAAGCAGUUCGUCUUAACCUUCCUAACAACGAAACUUUAAUUAUCUACGGCGACAAACCUAGUACCAGCCUUCGCAUCAUUUCGUGCAUUCAAGCACAAAAGUGUUUGCGGAAGGAGUACCAUGCAUUUCUCGCACACGUCGUCGAUACCAGUCAAGAACUGAAAGACAUCCAGAAAAUCCCAGAAGUACGCGACUUUCCCGACAUAUUCCCAGAAGAACUUCCCGGUUUACCACCACAACGCCAAGUCGAGUUCAGAAUCGACUUAGUGCCAGGGGCUACCCCCGUAGCCAAAUCUCCUUAUCGUCUUGCACCGGCUGAAAUGCAGGAACUUUCCAGUCAACUUAACGAACUUCUCAAGAAGGGAUUCAUUCGACCAAGCUUCUCACCAUGGGGAGCACCGGUCUUGUUCGUCAAGAAGAAAGAUGGAUCGUUUCGCAUGUGCAUCGACUAUAGAGAACUCAACAAACUUACCAUUAAAAAUCGUUAUCCCUUGCCCCGCAUUGACGAUUUAUUUGAUCAACUUCAAGGAGCCAACUACUUCUCGAAGAUAGAUCUGCGAUCCGGAUACCACCAACUACGAGUGUUAGAGGAAGAUGUUCCCAAGACAGCCUUCCGAACUCGUUAUGGGCACUACGAGUUUGUAGUGAUGCCAUUCGGAUUAACUAACGCGCCCGCAGUAUUCAUGGAUCUGAUGAAUAGGGUGUGUCGUCCUUACUUGGAUCAGUUCGUCAUCGUCUUCAUUGAUGACAUACUCAUCUACUCUCGAAGUAAGGAGGAGCAUGGUCAACAUCUCCGUAAAAUCUUAGAAACAUUGCGAGCGGAGAAGCUCUACGCGAAGUUCUCCAAGUGCGAAUUUUGGAUUCGGCGAGUCGAAUUUUUGGGCCAUGUAGUUAGCGAAGAAGGUAUACACGUGGACCCUUCCAAAAUUAAGGCCAUCGAGAACUGGUCAGCACCAAAGACACCUACUGAAAUUCGUCAAUUUCUAGGUCUAGCUGGCUACUAUCGCAGGUUCAUUCAGAACUUCUCCAGCAUAGCGAAACCUCUUACAACCCUGACCCAGAAAGGCGUGGCCUUCGACUGGGAGGAGAAACAGGAAAGAGCGUUCCAAACGCUCAAACGAGCCUUGUGCACCGCCCCGAUACUAUCCCUUCCCGAAGGAAUAGAAGACUUCAUUGUCUAUUGCGAUGCAUCCAAUCAAGGACUCGGAUGUGUUCUGAUGCAGCGAGGUAAAGUCAUCGCCUAUGCCUCGAGACAGCUGAAGACACAUGAGGUUAACUACACAACCCACGAUCUUGAACUAGGAGCAGUUGUGUUUGCUCUGAAGAUCUGGCGACAUUACCUAUACGGUACAAAAAGCACGAUCUUUACAGACCAUAAGAGUCUACAACACAUUUUCGACCAGAAAGAGCUCAACAUGAGACAACGACGGUGGGUCGAGCUACUUAGUGAUUACGAAUGCGAAAUUCGUUAUCAUCCGGGUAAAGCCAAUGUAGUAGCCGACGCCCUAAGUCGGAAAGAAUAUACUGGUCGUAGAGUCAAAUCUUUGACUCUAACUAUCCAUUCACACUUGUCCACGCAAAUAAAGGAGGCUCAGCUCGACGCUUUGAAACCUGAAAACGUGGCGGGUGAAUCCCUUAGAGGGAUGGAUAAGAACUUGGAAGUCAAGGGUGGCGGAGCCUUAUACCUCAUGGAUCGGAUCUGGACACCGAAACACGGUGGCUUCAGAGACUUGGUCAUGACGGAAGCUCACAACACUCGUUAUUCCGUCCACCCGGGUUCAGAUAAGAUGUAUCUGGAUCUUAAAAAGCUAUACUGGUGGCCUAACAUGAAAGCAGAUAUUGCUACCUUCGUGAGUAAAUGCCUUACUUGCGCAAAGGUCAAGGUCGAAUACCAGAAACCCUCCGGUCUUCUACAACAACCGGAGAUACCAGAAUGGAAGUGGGAGCGGAUCACUAUGGACUUCAUAACCAAGUUGCCCAAGACGACGGGUGGACUUGAUUCCAUAUGGGUCAUCGUCGAUAGACUGACCAAGUCUGCACACUUCCUACCGAUCAAGGAAACAGACAAGAUGGAGAAACUUACCAGAACUUACAUUAGGGAGAUUGUAAGACUGCACGGUGUUCCUUUAUCUAUCAUCUCAGACCGAGAUAGUAGAUUCACUUCGAGGUUCUGGCAGUCAUUACAAAGUUCCCUAGGAACUAGGCUGGACAUGAGUACAGCCUACCAUCCACAGACCGACGGGCAAAGUGAGAGAACUAUCCAAACCUUAGAAGAUAUGUUGCGUGCCUGUGUGAUUGACUUUGGAAAAGCUUGGGAUACUCAUUUACCCCUUGUUGAAUUUUCCUACAACAACAGUUAUCACACGAGCAUAAAGGCAGCUCCAUUCGAGGCCCUCUAUGGCCGAAAGUGCAGAUCCCCUCUGUGCUGGGCUGAAGUGGGUGAUACCCAGUUAGCUAAGGGACGAGUUCCCGAAAGCACUCUCACGGGUCCGGAGAUCAUUCGGGAAACGACAGAGAAGAUCGUUCAAAUUCGUGAACGACUAAAAGCCUCUAGAGACCGACAGAAAAGCUACGCCGACAAGCGUAGGAAACCAUUGGAGUUCCAGGUGGGCGACCGAGUCCUACUGAAAGUCUCACCCUGGAAGGGCUUGAUACGCUUUGGAAAGCGUGGGAAGCUCAAUCCAAGAUACAUAGGGCCUUUCGAGAUUCUCGCAAGAAUCGGCCCUGUGGCUUACAAGCUCAAUCUACCGAAAGAACUCAGUAACGUACAUCCUACCUUCCACGUGUCAAACUUGAAAAAGUGCCUAUCUGACGAGACUCUUGUUAUUCCACUCGACGAGAUCGAGAUCAACGAGAGCCUCAACUUCGUGGAGGAACCAGUAGAAAUCAUGGACCGAGAGGUCAAGCGAACAAAGCAGAGCCGUAUCCCGAUAGUGAAGGUGCGCUGGAACGCAAAGCGUGGACCGGAAUUCACUUGGGAACGUGAGGAUCAGAUGAAACUGAAAUACCCUCACCUUUUUGCUUAGUUAUUUGUAAUUUCUUAAUUGCUUACAUUCUAAUUUCGGGACGAAAUUCCUUCUAACGGGGGGAUGAUGUGACAACCCGAAAUUUCCAUUUGUACGAACAAUAUCUAUUCAAUAGAAGUCAGUCCAAUUUCAGUGAUUUUCAGACUUUUCCGAACAAGUUAGUGUACCUUAGGGUUUACACUUUAGGAGAUAUCAGGAGAGUGGAUGCUCCUGAGUUUGUGAAAUUUGGACAUUUCAAGUUUCAUAAUGUUACAGUCCAAGUUCAAGAAUAAAAAUAUUUUCUGUCAAAAUAUUUCAGGACUAUAAAUAGUUUUCUGAAUUUAUUUAAUUCAUUAUUCACAAUUCCAACUAGAGAAAAGCCAUUUUCUCUCUGACAGAUCUUCGGGUUUUUAUCCCAGAUUGUGAGUAACUCUUUCUAGUAGUGUUAGAUUACAUAUUUGAUGCUUAUAACAUGAUUUAGUGGGCUAAAUCAUGAGAUCUAGGAGUUUACUCCCCAAGGUGUUCUUGGGCGGUAAACUCCCGAAACAAGGCCAAAACCGACAUUGAUGCUAGAAUAAGGCCUUAGGACAUUAGGUAAACACAUUAGGGACAUGAAAUCACACACAAAACCACCCAAGAUUGGGAGUUUACGGCCCAGAACUCUCUUAGGCCGUAAACUCCAUUUCAAAGGGCUAAAUGGUGGUUUUUGGACUUAAGGACUUUAAGGCUUGCAUCUAGAUUAAUUCCCCAAGUAGCUUAAGGUCUUAAACACUUCAAAUGACACAAAAGAAAGUGAGUUUACGGCCCAGAACUCUCCUAGGCCGUAAACUCCAUGUAAAUGGUCACAAAGGGUGUUUUCAUGACACCUAACGCCCUAGCCCUUCACAAGGAAUUGUACCCACUAACUAGAAGGACCAAACCACACCAAAAUCACUUAAAUAAGUGAGUUUACGGCCAAGAUAUGGCUCUUGGGCCGUAAACUCCUAUAAAGGGCACAAAGUGGUGCCUAAUGCCUUCAUAUGUUAGGAUUAAAAGUCUAGAACACAUCCCACUAGUACAAGAGACUUGAAAGCAACCAAGGAAUCACCCCAAGGGAGUUUACGGCCGUAAACUCCAAGGGGAAAAGUCCUUUAGGCCGUAAACUCCUAUUUGGAGUACUUCUAGGCCUUAAACCCUUCCAAGAACAUAGCCACUAGGUUAGAAUAAUUCUAGAAAGCAUAUUGGACUUCAAAACACACCAAACACACAUGUUUGGGAGUUUACGGCCGUAAACUCAAGAGUUUACAACCGUAAACUCCAUGUGUGAUGGAUUAUGGAGAGUAAACACUCAUAUCGGGUCCUUUCGAAACCCUAAACUCAAGUACCCUGUCCCGCAAUAGCAUAGAUGAAGUCCUUACGGCUUAAAACACUUACAUAAAGUGUUACCUAUGUCUAAAAUGUCUUAAACAUUAUCAAUUAGUCUUUUGUGUCUACUUGAGUGCAUAUAUGUGUGAUUAUAUGUUCAUUAGGAUCGUAGUGUGUGCACAAGUCCUCGCUUGACACCUAGCCAUUCGAUACCGUUCAGUUCAUUCCAAAUCACCAACUACAGGUGAGUUCAUACCCCGUAAUCAAUGUUUUAAAGGAUUUUAAAUGCUUUAAUGGGGAGAAUCCAAGUAGAAGCAAACAUGUUAUUAAAUCAGUUUCAUG